GGGGAACUCGCGGCCCUCGACGGCGGCGAGCGAGGAGGCUCCCGCUGCAGCUCCGAGCACCUUCCCGACAUGCUGCAUGGCCUAGACGGCCAAGGUAAUCCCUUAUUCCUUCCCCAUCCUGCCAAGUACGUACAUAGCUUGCAGCAAUGUCAUGUGCUGCUGCUUCCUUGGGCAGACUAGCGCCGCAGAUCCGGAUGAUUGCCACAUACAUUUUUUUCAGAGAGAGGAACGGACACUCGUAUCCGGAAUAGAUACCAUAGUAUGUUUGUUUGCAAGAGAUCCGUGGAACUCAAAUAAAACUCUAAGUAUAGGGAUGAAGUCAUCUAGGAAAUAGAUCUGAGGACUAUGGUGAAGUUACAAAAUAAAAAUCAAAUCACUUGCACAUAUCAAACUGACUUCUGAGUAGGAAUUUGGUUGCUCCGUAAAGGCUGCAGUUUUACAAUUUGUUCUUUCUUGACUUCCACGGAUGCAUAGCUCCCUGAGUUGUUUGGCUGUUUACAUGCAUGUUUAUGGGCUAUUUUGUGCAACUAAAUAAAUUCAUUUAUGGUUUUCAUAUACUCAUGUCCUUUAUUAGCUUGAUGAGGUACACCUUAUGUAGGACUGAAUUAAAAAUAUUACACUUCUCGGUGAAAACUUUAUCUAGCAUAUGCAAUGUUAAGUUCUGUGAGCAGUGUCAAGUUAGAAGAAUAAGUUAUGCAUCUGAAAACAAAUCUCUUCUUUUUUUCAUAUUCAUAGAAAAUAAGUUAGUUGUUGAGUGUUUACUUCCCAAGUGACAACUGAGUAAUCACGUUCAGGUACAAUAAAAAAUGGCAAGCCAGAAUGUGCUAGCUAUUUGCCAAUUUGUCGUAACAUGCAUGUAAAGAGAUGGCAGCAGUUUAUGCACAUUUCUUGACUUCAACAGAUGACUAUCCAGAUUCAAUUGGGACCGUUAAGGAGCACAAAGGUAGAUUGAAAAUUACCAGCGAGUCCAUCUCCUACUUCGACUGCAAUGUAAUGCUGAGUCUCACUUUCUUUCUUCCGUCUCUUUUCUCUUCUUAUCAGAGCAAAGAUGCAUUUCAGGCGAUGAACUCAACCAUUGCUCUGGGUUUGUGUGUGUGUGUGUGUGUGUGUGAGAGAGAGAGAGAGGGUGAGAGAGGGAGAAGUUGUUAGCUUUAAGCUGUCUUGUGAUUUCGUUUCCACUUGAAUCUGCUAUAUGACAUCUUCCAUGUUGUUUGUAUUACACCGUCGCGUCUCAUGUAACUUAUGAGGUUGGAGAUGGACAGCUUUUGUUUGUCUUCAGCCUUUACGUAACCUUUCCUAAGAUAUGUGCUUUCACUGCUUACUUGUGGAUCUGAAAGUUUUUCUUUGAUUAGAUGGUGUUGGUUGUAACAGAAUAGUAGAAUGCAUUGGCUAGCAGAUGUGAGGUUAUUCGGCUUUAAGUAUACAAUAAACGAAUGCAUUUACUUGACAGUGUUUGUAAUCUGCAUGAAAAGUUUAUCCUCUAAAGAAGCAAAUUGCGUCCUGUCCUGUGCAUACGCCCAACUGUUUAUUAUAUGGAAGAAAAAUAUAAGAUGCCAACCUGAUACACUCUUCCUAGAGUAAAAUUGUCAUUUCCUGCUUGUGGUAUUUACUUUGCAUUCACUGAACAUGCGUAUCUACUCUGUAUAACAAAGGUUCCGAUACAUAAUUUCAUUCACAAUUCUGUAUGGGAGGUUGGAUUGUCCUAUCCUUCAUUCACUCUUGAUUAUCUUAUGAUAACCGACUAGUAUUGAAGUUGAUGUUGUCGCAUUCGAUUGUUUUUGAAGAAUUCUGGGAAGCAAAAAAUGUUUGAGAAUGCAUUGAACCUGCAUGUUGUAGAUGUGCCUACUAACAUUUCAUGACAUUGUCAGUCUUUUCAAGUUAGUAAUAACAUGGUAUUCUGGAGUUGCUGAUAACAAUCAGCUUAGUUAUAAUUGUUGAUCGAACUGGGUGUAGCUUUUAUGUUAUACUCCCUCCGUCCCAAAUUAAUUGACUUACAUUCAUCUAGAUACGGAUGUAUCUAACACUAAAACAUGGUUAGUCAUGUCCGUAUGUAGACAAAUCUGAGUCAACUAAUUCGGGACGGAGGGAGUAUUGUUCAGUGAGCUUUUUAUAGAGGUACAAGCUGGUCGUUGUGUUCAGAGGCUUGAUAUGACUGUUAACUCUAUAUUGUUUGGUUGUGUAUAUUUGCAAAUGAAUAUUGAUGCUAAUCACAUAGAGGAAAUAUGCAGGUCAUGGUCUUAAUCACGUGCGAUGGAUUAACAUAUUUCCUUCUUUUUGCUAUGAUUGCAAUGUGGCUGCUGAUGACUCACUGUCUUCAAAAUGCUUUUUAUUGAUCAAUAAAACUAUUAUCAAGCCCUGUUAAACAAUAACAAGCUUUGAUGCUCUGUUUUCAGUGAGAUUGCGAAGAACUUGCCACUUGCACCAGUAAAUCUCCAUUGCACUAUGCCUGCUGAAGAUGCAAUUAAAAUCAAAGAAGGUGAAUCUGGGAGACAGCCUUGUAGAGACACCUUUGAAAGGUUCGUUUAUUAUUUCAAACUGCUUAGUUUUGUAGAUCAUGCCCCAAAAUAAAUAGGUCUCAACAUUAUUGCUGCUAGUAGUUGAUAGUCUGUCAAUUGGGUUGAGGCAGUUUAUGUUCAUUUUUCUGAUGUAUACUUCCAUUUCUCUGCAAGAUGUAUGAUACCCGUAUUAGCAAAUCUUAAGUGGUGAAGUCGAUUCAUGACCGUAAUGCUUGCAGUCUUGACCCCCCCUCCCCCCUCCGGGUCACUGGUCAUGAUAAGCAUUUCAUAUUGUACAAACAAAAGUUUUGUUUUUCAUUGAGCUUUUUUGUGUCAAGCAAUAUGUGUAACUCCAUCUUAGCUUGCAGAAUACACAAGAACUGUUAGUUUUUAAUGCUUUUUUGUAUUUUUGUCCUAUUGUUGUAUCGACACAGUUUCAGUUCCUUUAAGUACACUUUACUUACCUUAAGCUCUCAACUAUUUGUUUGUUGUGUUGUUGGCUUAAUAAAACUGAUGUAACUCAGUUUCUUGUAUGUACCCAUGAGGACCGUCG
rnacentral:lncRNA from 1 species